GACGAACGCUGGCGGCGUGCUUAACACAUGCAAGUCGAACGGAAAGGCCCUGCUUUUGUGGGGUGCUCGAGUGGCGAACGGGUGAGUAACACGUGAGUAACCUGCCCUUGACUUUGGGGUAACUUCAGGAAACUGGGGCUAACACCGGAUAGGAGCUCCUGCUGCUUGGUGGGGGUUGGAAAGUUUCGGCGGUUGGGGAUGGACUCGCGGCUUAUCAGCUUGUUGGUGGGGUAGUGGCUUACCAAGGCUUUGACGGGUAGGCGGCCUGAGAGGGUGACCGGGCACAUUGGGACUGGGAUACGGCCCGGAGUCCUACGGGAGGCAGGAGUGGGGAAUAGUGCACGAUGGGCGGAAGCCGGGUGCAGCAACGCCGCGUGCGGGAUGACGGCCUUCGGGUUGUAAACCGUUUUCGCCUGUGACGAAGCGUGAGUGACGGUAAUGGAUAAAGAAGCACCGGCUAACUACGUG
rnacentral:rRNA from 1 species